AGGGUUCGAUUCUGGCUCAGAAUGAACGCUGGCGGCAUGCCUAACACAUGCAAGUCGAACGAAGGCUUCGGCCUUAGUGGCGCACGGGUGCGUAACGCGUGGGAAUCUGCCCCUUGGUUCGGAAUAACAGUUAGAAAUGACUGCUAAUACCGGAUGAUGACGUAAGUCCAAAGAUUUAUCGCCGAGGGAUGAGCCCGCGUAGGAUUAGCUAGUUGGUGUGGUAAGAGCGCACCAAGGCGACGAUCCUUAGCUGGUCUGAGAGGAUGAUCAGCCACACUGGGACUGAGACACGGCCCAGACUCCUACGGGAGGCAGCAGUGGGGAAUAUUGGACAAUGGGCGAAAGCCUGAUCCAAGCAAUGCCGCGUGAGUGAUGAAGGCCUUAGGGUUGUAAAGCUCUUUUACCCGGGAUGAUAAUGACAGUACCGGGAGAAUAAGCUCCGGCUAACUCCGUGCCAGCAGCCGC
rnacentral:rRNA from 1 species